rnacentral:lncRNA from 1 species
GCACUCGCUACACCGCUCCAACUUCUGCAGCACCAGAGAAGACUGUGACCGAAAACCAAUCCUUGAGCACAUCUUCUCUACCAUCUCCCAACACAAGUUCUUCCACGAUCCCUGCUCACGAACCUGCAGCAGAAAGCCCUCAAAGUUCAGACACUUCUAUGUCAAAAACUAGAUUGGCUAGUACUACCCUAGUGAUAGCAUUGAUGUUUUCCAUUUUUUAAAUCUGGAUACAAAGCCAGAUUCUUGUUCAAUGAAUGAGUCUUCAUUCGAGGAAAAUUAGUGCACAGGAGAUUUUAUCUUUGUUAUGAUCUAAUAACAUAAACUUUAUAGAAGUCUGAUAACUUCACCUCAUACAUUAUUAAUACCACAAUAAAACUACCAGCAACAACUUACAAAUAACAAACAUAAAGUUAAAUGAAUUGCUACCUGUAAGGCAGACAUACUAAUGAACUAUACUUGCUCAUCUAGGACAUAAUCUAGAACCAUUUUCCAAAUCAAAACAAAAUCAUAAAAGUAAAGUGCCAAGAGAACAAAAACUUACCAGAAUCAGGCGCAAGCUCAACACAAGUUUAACAAACCAUUCUGCUGGCACUUCAGAAAUAGAUGGAUGAAAAAAGAAUAGCUAAUAUCAGUAUCACUAAGCUGAAAAAUAGCAAUGUCUUUUAACCAUACUACCUACAACAGGUGGAUUGCUCAAACUUAAAAAAUCAAAUACCGCCAAGAUUCACAAUUAAACAGGGCAGAAACAAACCUGGAAACUUCGAAGUGAAAUAGAAAAUAGAUGCAAAAAAGAGGGACUUGCGUACACAAAAAAAUAUAUACAAUUUAUUGGUGGGAGAGGUUGAUUAUUCGUCUAUUUGUUAAUUAUUACUCCCUCCACCCCCAAAAAAAUGCAAUCCUAGCUUUGAACCUGG